AGUAGCAAUACAACUGGUGGCGACCGGCGCACGGGUGAGUAACGCGUAUGCAACCUACCUAUCGAGAGGGGAAUAACCCGGCGAAAGUCGGACUAAUACCGCAUAAAACAGGGGCACCGCAUGGUGAUAUUUGUUAAAGAAAUCGCUGAUAGAUGGGCAUGCGUUCCAUUAGGUAGUUGGUGAGGUAACGGCUCACCAAGCCGACGAUGGAUAGGGGAACUGAGAGGUUGGUCCCCCACACUGGUACUGAGACACGGACCAGACUCCUACGGGAGGCAGCAGUGAGGAAUAUUGGUCAAUGGGCGGGAGCCUGAACCAGCCAAGUCGCGUGAAAGGAAGAAGGAUCUAUGGUUCGUAAACUUCUUUUGCAGGGGAAUAAAGUGCAGGACGUGUCCUGUUUUGUAUGUACCCUGAGGAUAAGGAUCGGCUAACUCCGUGCCAGCAGCCGC
rnacentral:rRNA from 1 species